rnacentral:rRNA from 1 species
GCAGUCGAACGAUGAAGCAUUCUUCGGAAUGUGGAAGAGUGGCGAACGGGUGAGGAACACGUAAGAAUCUGCCCCUCGGUCGGGGACAACUUUUGGAAACGAAAGCUAAUACCCGAUACGCUGUGGAGUGAAAGAAUUUCGCCGAGGGAUGAUCUUGCGUCUGAUUAGCUAGUUGGUGCGGUAAUGGCGCACCAAGGCGACGAUCAGUAGCUGGUCUGAGAGGAUGAACAGCCACAUUGGAACUGAGACACGGUCCAAACUCCUACGGGAGGCAGCAGUGGGGAAUUUUCCGCAAUGGACGAAAGUCUGACGGAGCGACGCUGCGUGAAGGAUGACGGCCUGCGGGUUGUAAACUUCUUUUCUCGAAGAAGAAGCUCUGACGGUAUUCGAGGAAUAAGCAUCGGCUAACUCCGUGCCAGCAGCCGCGGUAAGACGGAGGAUGCAAGUGUUAUUCGGAAUGAUUGGGCGUAAAGCGUCUGUAGGCUGUAUAGAAAGUCUUUUGUUAAAUACCUCGGCUCAACCGAGAUCCAGCAAAGGAAACUUCUAUACUUGAGGUAAGUAGAGGUACAGGGAAUUCCCGGUGGAGCGGUGAAAUGCGUA